AUUGAACGCUGGCGGCAGGCCUAACACAUGCAAGUCGAGCGAGCGGCGGACGGGUGAGUAAUGUAUGGGGACUGCCCGAUAGAGGGGGAUAAAUACUGGAAACGGUAGCUAAUAACCCAUACUACAGGAAAAACCAUAUGGGAUGAGCUAGUUGGUGAGGUAAUGGCUCAACCAGGCAACGAUCCCUAGCUGGUCUGAGAGGAUGAUCAGCCCCACUGGGACUGAGACACGGCCCAGACUCCUACGGAGGCAGCAGUAGGGAAUAUUGCGCAAUGGGCGCAAGCCUGAUGCAGCCAAGCCGCGUGUAUGAUGAAGGCCCUAGGUUUGUAAAGUACUUUCAGUCGGGAGGCGUUACCGACAGAAGAAGCACCGGCUAACUCCGUGCCAGCAGCCGCGGUAAUAC
rnacentral:rRNA from 1 species